rnacentral:rRNA from 1 species
AGCAGUAGCCGCGGGAAUACAGAGGGUGCGAGCGUUAAUCGGAUUUACUGGGCGUAAAGCGUGCGUAGGCGUCUUUUUAAGUCGGAUGUGAAAUCCCUGAGCUUAACUUAGGAAUUGCAUUCGAUACUGGGAAGCUAGAGUAUGGGAGAGGAUGGUAGAAUUCCAGGUGUAGCGGUGAAAUGCGUAGAGAUCUGGAGGAAUACCGAUGGCGAAGGCAGCCAUCUGGCCUAAUACUGACGCUGAGGUACGAAAGCAUGGGGAGCAAACAGGAUUAGAUACCCCUGUAGUCCCUGUCUCUUAUAC